rnacentral:tRNA from 1 species
GGUCCCAUAGUUCAAUGGAUAGAAUAGGAGUUUCCUAAACUCUUGAUCCAGGUUCGACUCCUGGUGGGAUCACCA